GCCUAACACACUGGUAAGCCUUGUAUCACCUUCACCAAUUAUCACUUCCAAUCUCAGAAACAAAAUGUUCUUCCUCUACCCGACAACAGUACAACUCAAAACCUAUUUUCUUUCUCUCUGAUUAACCUAGCCCUCUCUACUGCAGAACCACCGACCAUCACCGACCGCUCUCUGUCUCUCUACCCAUUAUCAUUUCACAUCAAAACCAGACAACUCCCAUCCCUUAUUUUUACUCAUUUUCUUGUAUCCAUGAAUUGAACAAAAAUAAGGAAGUUAUGGUGAACAGAAGCAGCAUGUUUGUCAAAAUAGGUCUGAAAUCUGAAUUCCUUUCAAUCACCGACAACAUCAGACACUCGCUGAAGACAAUUAGGCGGCUGUGCAGUGGUACCUGAAAUUUCUACUGUGCAAACCAAAUGAAAGGAAAAAAGGGAUGAAAAAAUAGAUCAAAUUUGUUGGUCUUCUCCAUGUGUCGUGCCAGAGGUACCUGAAAUUUCUACUGUGCAAACCAAAUGAAAGGAAAAAGGGAUGAAAAAAUAGAUCAAAUUUGUUGGUCUUCUCCAUGUGUCGUGCCAGAGGUACCUGAAAUUUCUACUGUGCAAACCAAAUGAAAGGAAAAAAGGGAUGAAAAAAUAGAUCAAAUUUGUUGGUCUUCUCCAUGUGUCGUGCCAGAGGUAAGUUUCUCAAAAAAUAAAAAUAAAUAAAUAAUACUCGGUAUGCUUGAGUUCUCCUUCGCUUAUUACAUGAUUUGAGUUGUUUUGAAUUUUGUUUUAGUGAAAAGAGCUUCAUAAUUUGUUAUCAAAUGCGAGCAGGCCACUCGUUAAGUUAAGUUAACAACAACAUCAUUUCUUAAUCAAAUAGAAACAACCAUUUAGGACAUGUAGGCUUUGUCAGGCAGAUACUUUGUGACAGUAAAUAUGCACCCUUGGUAGAAUAUCUGAAUUGCUGAAUGGCGAGCCUAAUUUAAAAACCUGGAGCACCAUUUUUUUUUGUCUUCAUUUUUGUGAAAGGUCUGUUAUGUCAGUAUAGCUAAAUCAUUCUGUUUAGGACUUGUUAGUAACAUUUAGAAUAGAUUCCUCUCAUUCUUGUUUCGGGAAAAAAAUGUCUGGAUUUUGGACCGGUGUUAGGGAUGAAAAAUCAUCGCAUAAAUCAAUCAGAGAACUUGCACAAGAGCAUGCUUCACGUUAUGAGUUUACAGUAGACCACAAUGUCAAUAACUAUAGGGAUUAUUACCAACCUUUUCAAGGUUCUGAGCUUCCAUAUACAUACCCUAAUUGCUAUGCACACAUGGACCAAUCACCACAAUGGGAAAAUGACCAAUUCUGUACUCCCCUUGAACAACUUAAUAUGCUUUUAAAAAUGAAUCUGAUUCAUUUACAAAAUGAUGGAAGGGAGAAGUGUCAAGAUGAAUUGUUUGUUGAUCCUAAUGAAUUAAAUUGUGAAAAUAGUGUUUCUUUUCCAGCUCAUGAUCCACAAGAUGACUACUAUUUGUGGGUGAAACCGUUUCUGCUGAUUUUGGUAAUUUUGGGUGUGUGGAUGAGAAACGAGUCUAAACUUUAAACAAUGCACUGCACGGGAGUACUUUUGAUUCGAGAGAUCAAUCUGUACAAUCCUGG